GACUGGAUAGCUCAGUGGUUAGAGCAGUCCACCCGGAUAGUGGGAAGGUCCUUGGUUCAAACCCAAGACUGGUCA